GACGAACGCUGGCGGCGUGCUUAACACAUGCAAGUCGAACGAUGAAGCUAGAGCUUGCUCUGGUGAAUUAGUGGCGAACGGGUGAGUAACACGUGAGUAACCUGCCCCGAACUCUGGGAUAACUGCUGGAAACGGUAGCUAAUACUGGAUACGACCUACGAAGGCAUCUUCUGUAGGUGGAAAGAAUUUCGGUUCGGGAUGGACUCGCGGCCUAUCAGCUUGUUGGUGAGGUAAUGGCUCACCAAGGCGACGACGGGUAGCCGGCCUGAGAGGGUGACCGGCCACACUGGGACUGAGACACGGCCCAGACUCCUACGGGAGGCAGCAGUGGGGAAUAUUGCACAAUGGGCGCAAGCCUGAUGCAGCAACGCCGCGUGAGGGAUGACGGCCUUCGGGUUGUAAACCUCUUUUAGUAGGGAAGAAGCGAAAGUGACGGUACCUGCAGAAAAAGCACCGGCUAACUACGUGCCAGCAGCCGCCGCAG
rnacentral:rRNA from 1 species